rnacentral:rRNA from 1 species
GAUGAACGCUGACAGAAUGCUUAACACAUGCAAGUCAACUUGAACUUCGGUUUGGGUGGCGGACGGGUGAGUAACGCGUAAAGAACUUGCCUCACAGAUAGGGACAACAUUUGGAAACGAAUGCUAAUACCUGAUAUUAUGAUUAUAUGGCAUCGUAUAAUUAUGAAAGCUAUAUGCGCUGUGAGAGAGCUUUGCGUCCCAUUAGCUAGUUGGAGAGGUAACGGCUCACCAAGGCGAUGAUGGGUAGCCGGCCUGAGAGGGUGAUCGGCCACAAGGGGACUGAGACACGGCCCUUACUCCUACGGGAGGCAGCAGUGGGGAAUAUUGGACAAUGGACCAAGAGUCUGAUCCAGCAAUUCUGUGUGCACGAUGAAGUUUUUCGGAACGUAAAGUGCUUUCAGUUGGGAAGAAAAAAAUGACGGUACCAACAGAAGAAGUGACGGCUAAAUACGUG